UGACCUCAGAUCAGGCAAGGCUACCCGCUGAAUUUAAGCAUAUUAAUAAGCGGAGGAAAAGAAACUAACAAGGAUUCCCCUAGUAAUGGCGAAUGAAGCGGGAACAGCUCAAAUUUAAAAUCUCCGUUGCUUGCAACGGCGAAUUGUAGUUUCGAGAAGCACUUUCUCGGCGGAUCCGAGGUCGUCCAAGUUGCUUGGAACAGCACGUCGUAGAGGGUGACAACCCCGNUCUGCGGCGAUCUCGGCCGUUCACGAUGUGCUUUCGACGAGUCGGGUUGUUUGGGAAUGCAGCCCAAAAUGGGUGGUAAACUCCAUCUAAAGCUAAAUAUUGGCACGAGACCGAUAGCGAACAAGUACCGUGAGGGAAAGAUGAAAAGCACUUUGAAAAGAGAGUUAAAAAGUACGUGAAACCGUUAAAAGGGAAACGAAUGGGGUUAGCAAUGCGUCGUGCGAGAUUCAGCCGGUGGGUGGGCCAGGCGGGCGGUUGGCGGAUCUGAAUGGACCGCUGCCGUUCGGGUUGGUUUCCCGACCGUCGCACUUCUCGCAGGCGCGCGCCAACGUCGGUUAGGGCUGGGUCUCAAAGGCGGUGGAAAGGUAGGUUUGGACUCUCGGGCCCGAACUGUUACAGUCCUCCGUUCGUCAUGGCCCGGACCUGACCGAGGAGCUUGCGGUGCAUGCCCUUUCGGCUAGGGUCCCGUCUUCCCGGUCGGUCGUCGAAUGCGGUGGACUGCGUGCAGUGCGCCGCGACUGCUGCCGGUCGCGAGGGCGGUGAUUUCGUACUAUGCACCCACGACGUUGGCGGUCAUAUGGCCUCAUCCGACCCGUCUUGAAACACGGACCAAGGAGUCUAACAUGUGUGCGAGUCUUUGAGUGAUCGAAACUCCGA
rnacentral:ncRNA from 1 species